UACGUAGGCAGCGAGCGUUGUUCGGAGUUACUGGGCGUAAAGAGCGUGUAGGCGGCUUGGUAAGUCCGCUGUGAAAGUCCAGGGCUCAACCCUGGAAAGCCGGUGGAAACUGUCAAGCUUGAGUCCGGAAGAGGCGAGUGGAAUUCCUGGUGUAGCGGUGAAAUGCGCAGAUAUCAGGAGGAACACCAAUGGCGAAGGCAGCUCGCUGGGACGGUACUGACGCCGAGACGCGAAAGCGUGGGGAGCAAACAGG
rnacentral:rRNA from 1 species